rnacentral:tRNA from 4 species
GCGCCCUUAGCUCAGCUGGAUAGAGCAACGGCCUUCUAAGCCGUAGGUCACAGGUUCGAACCCUGUAGGGCGUGCCA